GAAAACUCGAGGAUGAAGAGAGUAAUCUAUAUGGGGAAAAAUAGAGAGUCGGGGAUGGUGGAAGCCUGGCACAGAACCAAUGGAUGAAGCGCACUUCGGAGAGAUGAAUCUGAACUACAGUAGGAUGAAUCGGGAACUCCCGUUACAAGGUAAAGUGGUCAUUAACCUGAACAAUUAGAGUGGUACCGCGGGCUAGCUCGUCUCUUUA
rnacentral:ncRNA from 1 species